GACGAACGCUGGCGGCGUGCUUAACACAUGCAAGUCGAACGGAAAGGCCCUGCUUGCAGGGUGCUCGAGUGGCGAACGGGUGAGUAACACGUGGGUGAUCUGCCCCUUACUUUGGGAUAAGCCUGGGAAACUGGGUCUAAUACUGGAUAGGACCAUGCUGUAGGUGGUGUGGUGGAAAGAUUAGUUUCGGUAAGGGAUGAGCUCGCGGCCUAUCAGCUUGUUGGUGGGGUAAUGGCCUACCAAGGCGUCGACGGGUAGCCGGCCUGAGAGGGUGGACGGCAAGAUUGGGACUGAGAUGCGGCGCAGACUCCUACGGGAGGCAGCAGUGGGGAAUAUUGCACAAUGGGAGCAAGCCUGAUGCAGCGACGCUGCGUGGGGGAUGACGGUCUUCGGGUUGUAAACUCCUUUCAGCCAUGACGAAGCGCUUGUGGUGACGGUAGUGGUAGAAGAAGCACCGGCUAACUACGUG
rnacentral:rRNA from 1 species